AUGCCCUUGCCGGCCGCGGGCUUCCGGAACGAGGCCCAGCCCCAGACCCUGGACCGGCGCCUCUCGUCGGCGCUGCCGCCGCCGGCCACGGACCGCGAGCGCCCGAUCCGGCGCUCCCGCUCGAUGAGGCUGCAGACGCGGCCGACGGAGGCGGAGGAGGCCGAGGAGGACGGGGAGGAGGGGGAGGCGCAGGCGCAGGGGCGCGUCCGCGCGCAGUCGGGGCAGAGGCGGAGGAGGCGGUCGCAGAGGCAGUGCGGGCACACGCCGCCGCAGGGCACGGGCGGGUGCUUCCGGCAGCGCCAGUCGUCGCCGGCCAUGCCCAUGUGUGCGCCGUCCCUCCGUCCGUUCGGUUGCGAACCUGCGAUGGAUCCCGCUGGCGCUCGCGGUUUCGGAGGGAGAGGCGGGGAGCGAGUUGCGGCGUUCGUUGGUUGGCUUGGCUCUAGGGACGCGGGGAAGCAGAGGGUCCGUCUCUCAUAUAAGCGGGGCCAGGGCCGGCCCACGGACUUUCUCCGGUGA
rnacentral:rRNA from 1 species